UAGUUAGUUAGGUUGUUAAAUUAGUUUAGUUUAGGUUCAGUUUUAGUUUAGGUUUAGUUAGGUUAGUUUCUUGUUUAGUAAAUGAGAAAAGGAGAAGAAGAAGAAGGAGAAAGGAGAAAGGAGAAAGGAGAAGAAGAAGAAGGAGAAAGGACAAGAAGAAGAAGGAGAAAGGACAAGAAAAAAAAGAAGAAGAAGGAAAAGAAGAAG
rnacentral:lncRNA from 1 species